AUGCUCCUCUGUCCAUGGGGAUUCUCUAGGCAGGACUACUGGAGUGGGUUGCUGUGCCCUCCUCCAGAGGAUUUUCCCAACCCAGGGAUCGAACCCAGGUCUCCUGCAUUACAGGGGGAUUCUUUACCGUCUGACCCACCCGGGAAGCCAUACUUAGGUCGCUUGAAUAACUGUGUGGAUCACUCCUGUACCAGCCACAGUGUUUCAUCAAGAUAUACCUGGGCUUCCCUGGUUGGUAAAGAAUCCGCCUGCAAUGCAGGAGACCUGAAUUCAAUCCCUGGGUUGGGAAGAUCCUCUGGAGAGGAAAUGACAGUCACUCCAAUAUUCUUGCCUGGGAAAUCCCAUGGAGAGAGGAGCCUGAGCUACAGUUCAUGGAGUCACAAGAGUUGGACAUGACUUAGCGACUCAACCACCACCACCACCAACAAAGAUGUAUAUAACUGGUCCUAAGAAUUGCCUAGUGGUUUGAAUGCACGACAUGCAUGGAGGAAAAUCUUGUUUCUUUUACAUUUUGAUCUCUUUACUCAUUUAAAGUGUCCAUCUUCUAGCUGCUUCUGAAAAACCUUCAAGUAUUCUCAAAGUGCAGAACCAAUGCCUUAAAAAUUAUUUGCAUUUUACAUUCAGCUAUUUCAACUACUGUGAAUGACUUCCUUUAGUUUUUGCUCUGUCUUUAUGCUUUGUUCUGUCACCCAAAUUGCUUUGAAAAGUUUAGCUUGGAAAACAGCAAAGGACCAGAUGCUUUAAUUUUCUUAGCUGGCUCCUUCUAUCUUAAUAAGAUUUCUUGUCUGGAUUCAAAGUAACUUUUGUCAUAUGUAUGUUCUCUACGUGAUAGCUUUAAACCAGUAUAAAGCAGGGACAUAGAUGUAAUAUCUCCAAGAUGUUCUCUGAAACUGUUUCCUCACAGAAUCCCUUAUUCAUAUCUCUCCUACCUUAUUUUUUAUAUUCUUUUAAACAUUGUACUCUGUAACUUUAUUAUUGCUAUGAAUGCACUGAAUGAAUUCAUAUGUUUAAAUCUUAACCCCCAACAUGAUGGCAUUUGGAUGUGGGGCCUUUGGGAAGUGAUUAGGUCAUGAGGAUGGAGCCCUCAUGAAUGAGAUCAGCGCCAUUAUAAAGGAAAUCCUAGAAAGCUCCCUCUUUCCCUCCACCACGUGAGGACACAGAGAGAACAAGGCAAUCUGAGAACAACGCAGAGGGCCCUCAGCACAGAGAGAAUCUGCUAGCACCUUGAUCUUGGACUUCCCAGGCCCCAGGACUGUGAGAAAUAUAUUUCUCCAUAUAAGUCACCCAGUCUCUGAUAUUCUAUUACCAGUCUGAAUGAACUAAGACAAUUAUGAAAUUUUAUGUAUCAACAUAUCAAAAAUAGUUAACAGAAAACUUUUAAACUUGCACCCAAACUUAUCUGUCCUAUAAAUGUCAAACAUUCAAGUUAUCACUUCAUCCUCUUUUUUUUUUUGUAUUUUUUUAUUUCCUCAGUGUGAAAUUUUUUUAAUAGCUUUAUUGAGAUAUAAUUCAUAUGCCUUAAAAUUUACCCAUUUAAAGUAUUCAAUUACACACACUCAUGAAGUUGUACAUCCAUCACUACUAUAUAACUUUGGGCUUCCCUGGUGGCUCAGAUAAUGAAGAAUCUACCUGCAAUGUGAGAGACCUGGGUUCAAUCCCUGGGUCAGGAAGAUCCCCUGGAGGAGAGCAUGGCAACCCACUCCAGUAUUCUUGCCUGGAGAAUUGUAUGGACAGAAGAGCCUGGUGGGCUACAGUCCAUGGGGUCACAAAGAGUCAGACACGACUGGGUGACUAGCACUUUCACUUUCACUAUAUAACUUUAGAAUUUGUUCAUCACCACUCCGCAUUCCCACCUUCCUAGCCCCUAGCAACCACUAAACUUUUACCUCUCUAGAUAUCCUAACCUGGACAUGUAAUAUAAGUGGAAUCACACAAUAUAUGCAUUUUUAUGUUUGGUUUUAUUCACUUAACAUGAUGUUUCAAGGUUCAUCCAUGUUAUAGCAUAAGUACUUAAUUCCUUUUUACUGACAAGCACUGUUCCUAUAUUUUUAAAAAUAAAAUAUAUUUUAAUAUGUAAAUUACAUAUAUAUAUAUAUUGCUGCUUGUGGGCUUUUUUCUAGUUUCAGCAAACGGGGGCUACUCUUCAUUGCAAGGUAUGGCUUCUCAUUGCAGUGGCUUCUCUUGCUGCUGAGCCCAAGCUCUAGGGCACUGGGGUUUCACAGCUGUGGUGCGUGGGCACAGUAGUUGUGGUUCCUGGGCUCUGGAGCACAGGCUCAAUAGUUGUGGAGCACAGGCUUAGUUGCUUCACAGCAUGUGGGAUCUUCACAGACCAGGGAUUGAACCCAUGUCUCCUGCAUUGGCAGGCAGACUCUUUACCACUGAGCUACCAGGGAUGGCUUAGUCUUUACCUCGUUCCUAGGCAGAGCAUCAGUAUCAGUCGAAGGUGAACUAUUAGGGCAUUCCAAGUUCAUUCCUGGGGAUAUGCACAGUCCUGCAUAUGAAUAUCACCUUCUAGAUUUUCAGGAAUUUUGGGACUCUUUCAAAUCCCUUAGUAAAUAUCUCAUACCCUUUUCUUUUAUGAGACUUCUGGUCAACCUCUUGUUAGCUACAGAUGGUAUCACUGCCUCAGCUAGCUAUAAUAUCAAACAAUUACUAUUAAAUAUUUUCUACAAAUAUCCUGGAGAUAACAGUCACACAGAGAGAGUUCUGGGUUAAGUCAAAUAAAGGCAAAUAAGUCAAAUAAAGUCUAAGAAAGAAACUUUGCCUAGCAGCUGCUAGAAAGGUCAAAUAAUAACAUUUCUCUGGAGAUGAGACUAGGAAAAUCCAAGCCAGAUUUUCCUAAAUUUUCUAUCAAAAUCCAGAAUUAGGAAAAUCUGUACCUCCAGUGGUUGCUAGACUUCUGGUUGUUACAGCUGUCUAGUUGUGAGUCUGCAAGUUUUCAGUUCUACAACAGAGCUGAAGAGGGG
ensembl:lncRNA